CACCACCACCAUAUGAGUACAAAUCUCCUCCUCCACCAUCACCGUCACCUCCCCCCCCUUACCACCACUCCUCUCCACCACCACCUUCGCCAUCUCCUCCUCCACCUUACCACGACUCCUCUCCACCACCACCUUCGCCAUCUCCUCCUCCACCUUACCACGACUCCUCUCCACCACCACCUUCGCCAUCUCCUCCUCCACCUUACCACGACUCCUCUCCACCACCACCUUCGCCAUCUCCUCCUCCACCUUACCACGACUCCUCUCCACCACCACCUUCGCCAUCUCCUCCUCCACCUUACCACGACUCCUCUCCACCACCACCAUAUGAGUACAAAUCUCCUCCUCCACCAUCACCGUCACCUCCCCCACCUUACGAGUACAAGUCUCCUCCUCCUCCUUCACCGUCACCACCGCCACCAUACUACUACAAGUCACCGCCGCCACCAUCACCCUCUCCUCCUCCACCAUACUACUAUAAAUCUCCACCACCACCUUCUCCAUCUCCGCCGCCACCUUACCACUACUCUUCUCCACCACCACCUAAGAAAUCACCUCCACCACCAUACUACUACAAAUCUCCACCACCACCUUCGCCAUCUCCUCCUCCACCUUACCACUACUCCUCUCCACCACCACCUAAAAAAUCACCUCCACCACCAUACUACUAUAAGUCUCCACCACCACCUUCACCAUCUCCUCCACCACCGUACUACUAUAAGUCUCCGCCGCCACCAUCACCCUCUCCUCCACCACCAUACUAUUAUAAAUCCCCACCACCACCUUCACCAUCUCCUCCACCGCCGUACUACUACAAGUCCCCACCACCACCUUCUCCGUCUCCUCCACCACCAUAUUACUACAAAUCUCCACCACCGCCAUCACCAUCACCUCCACCACCAUACUACUACAAAUCUCCACCACCGCCAUCACCAUCAC
rnacentral:lncRNA from 1 species